GGGCGCAUAGCUCAGUUUGGUUAGAGCGCAGCCCUGAUAAGGCUGAGGUCGAUGGUUCGAAUCCAUCUGCGCCCA
rnacentral:tRNA from 1 species